rnacentral:rRNA from 1 species
AUGGCCGUGAGCAAGCAAUGGACGCGGGUGUGCACGCUCGGCCGCGGCGCCUCGGGGGCCGAGGUCUUCCUGGCCGCCGACGACGCCUCCGGGGAGCUCUUCGCGGUCAAGUCCGCCGUGGGGGCGGCUUGCGCGGCGGCUCUCAGGAGGGAGCAGAGGGUGAUGGCCGGCCUGAGCUCCCCGCGCGUCGUCUCCUGCAUCGGCGGCCGCGGCGCCCGCGACGGCUCCUACCAGCUCUUCCUCGAGUUCGCCCCCGGCGGCUCGCUGGCGGAGCAGGUGGCGAGCAGCGGUGGCCUCGACGAGCGUGCCGUCCGCGGCUACGCGGCCGAUGUGGCGGCCGCGCUCGCGUACCUCCACGGCGCUGGGAUGGUGCACGGGGACGUCAAGGCGAGGAACGUCGUGAUCGGCGCCGACGGCCGCGCCAAGCUCGCGGAUUUCGGGUGCUCGAGGAAGGCGGCCGCUGGCGGGCCGAUCAUCGGCGGGACGCCAGCGUUCAUGGCGCCGGAGGUGGCGCGUGGCGAGGAGCAGGGCCCCGCGGCCGACGUCUGGGCGCUCGGCUGCAUGGUUGUCGAGAUGGCCACUGGACGCGCCCCGUGGAGCGGCAUGGACGGCGACGCGCUCGCGGCGCUGCACCGGAUUGGCUACACGGAGGCCGUUCCCGAGGUGCCCCAAUGGUUGUCCGCUGAGGCUAAAGACUUCUUGGCCAAAUGCCUUGUCAGGCAGACCAGCGAGCGUUGCACGGCGGCGCAGCUCGUGGAGCACCCGUUCUUGGCCUCCGCCGACAUCGGCGCGAAGCCAGAAGCCGUGAAGAGCAAGUGGGUGUCGCCCAAGAGCACGCUGGACGCGGCAUUCUGGGAGUCGGAGUCCGACACCGAGGAGGCGGAGCACGACAGCGCGGCCGAGAGGAGGAUCAGAGCAUUGUUCUGCCCUGCGUCGGCGCUCCCGGACUGGGACUCGGACGAGGGCUGGAUCGACGUGCUCUCCGGGCCAACGGAAGGAGCGGACGCAGUUGCCGUGCCGGCCAAGGUGACGACUGGCAUCAUCGUGGACGACGCGAUCACCAGUGAAGAAGAGUCACUCGACGCAGAGUCUGGCGCUGUCGACAUUACUGUGGACGUGGAGCACAACAGCGUGCUCAACGCAGGACAAGAAGCAAACGAUGAUGAUGAUUCAGCAGUAGUAGGGCACUGUAGGCACCAGCCUUUGGAGAUUAUAGCUUCUCACCAAUUAGUGUCGUGUAAAUUGUUACUGUUAUGUAGCGACAGAAUCAGUAAUACAAUCGAUUUCGUUCAUCAUGCCAAAGCACUCUGCUUCGCAAGCGCUGCUCCUCUGUUUCUCUGCUCAUACUCGUGCUCCCCAUUGCGACACGAUUGGUCGGCAAAUUCCGAGAAAAAAUUAGGUCGCAACUAA